CUGUUCAACGGCCGCGGUAUCCUAACCGUGCGAAGGUAGCGUAAUCACUUGUCUUCUAAAUAAAGACUAGUAUGAAAGGCACCACGAGGAUUAAACUGUCUCCCCCCUCUAAUCAGUGAACCUAAUCUCCCCGUGAAGAAGCGGGGAUAACCCUAUAAGACGAGAAGACCCUAUGGAGCUUAAAACAGUACCCACGUGCACAUAAAUUUUCCGUACUAAGGUAUUAUCACUACACCCGCACGCUGACUACAUGUUUUUGGUUGGGGUGACCGCGGAGAACAAACCAUCCUCCACGAUGAAUGGGAACCUCCCUAAAAAACAAGCCACAACUUUACUUAUCAACAAAUUGACAUUCAUUGACCCAAAUAUUUUGAUCAACGAACCAAGUUACCCUAGGGAUAACAGCGCAAUCCACUUCAAGAGCCCAUAUCGACAAGUGGGCUUACGACCUCGAUGUUGGAUCAGGGUAUCCUAGUGGUGCAGCCGCUACUAAAGGUUCGUUUGUUCAACGAUU
rnacentral:rRNA from 1 species